UUUCCUACGGGAGGCAGCAGUGGGGAAUACUGCACAAUGGGGGAAACCCUGAUGCAGCGACGCCGCGUGAGUGAAGAAGUAUCUCGGUAUGUAAAGCUCUAUCAGCAGGAAAGAUAAUGACAGUACCUGACUAAGAAGCCCCGGCUAACUACGUGCCAGCAGCCGCGGUAAUACGUAGGGGGCAAGCGUUAUCCGGAUUUACUGGGUGUAAAGGGAGCGUAGACGGCGAUGCAAGUCUGAAGUGAAAGCCCGGGGCUCAACCCCGGGACUGCUUUGGAAACUGUAUGGCUGGAGUGCUGGAGAGG
rnacentral:rRNA from 1 species